UACGUAGGUGGCGAGCGUUGUCCGGAUUUACUGGGCGUAAAGGGCGUGCAGGCGGUCUGUUAAGUCUAGGGUGAAAGCUCCCGGCUCAACUGGGAGAGGUCCUUGGAUACUGGCGGACUUGAGGGAGGUAGAGGAGAGUGGAAUUCCCGGUGUAGUGGUGAUAUGCGUAGAUAUCUGGAGGAACACCAGUGGCGAAGGCGGCUUCCUGGCCUGCAACUGACGCUGAGACGCGAAAGCGUGGGGAGCGAACCGG
rnacentral:rRNA from 1 species